UCGCAUUCUGAAGACUUGACGUCUAGGCAACGAACUGGGAACCAUUGGAUUCUCCCUCGCAAACGCGCCUAGGGGAAAGUCCCCGGACCUCGGGCAGAGAGUGCCGCGCGCCACCCGGCGCGCAAUAAUCCCACCCAAAGCUCGCAUCCAUCCGCCGAGAAGCUCCCAGGAGCCGAGCGGGCCGAGACGGGAUGGGAUCUCUCGUCAGUGCUACAGUGACGCAGGUAGCGUGGGAGGGGUCAGCCCCCACCACGUGAACAGAACGGGGCUCAUUCUCAGAAUGCA
rnacentral:RNase_MRP_RNA from 1 species